AACCUGUCCGUCAGCACAGUCCUGCUAGCACCCAUUGCGCCACGGGGGGCUCCAAGGGGAGACAGAUGAGGGCAGGUUGGGGGCAAGUCUCCAGGAGGAGGAGGGUUUUGCGGAGAGGAGUGGGAAGAAGGUCAACCGAGGGGGCUGGGGCUGAAGGGGAGGCGGUGGGUCCAGAGCCCGAAGUUAGGCGCGAGGAGGGGGGGGGCAAAUGAGGAGGAGGAGGAGGGCCGGGGCGGGGGUGGUACCUUGGAUGAGGAUCCCGCAGAGGCUGUAUAAGCGCAAGACGACGCUCGUUUUCAGCCGCAUCCUGGGGGCUUCCCUCGGGCGGGCCGGGCGCGAGGCAGAGAAUCCCGCAGCUGCUUCUUGCUUCUGUUCUGGCUCCUCUUCUCCUGCCUGGCUCCGUCUUCCCCGCAGAAAGAGCCGCCGCCGCGUCCUCCACCUCCUCCUCCUCCUCCUCCUCCUGCCUUCCUUCUUUCCUCGAGGAGCCCCUUGUCUUGAAGGCAGGCGAGGGAGUGAGUGAGGGCGCAGCUCUUCCUCUUCCCUCGCUUUGUGUGCGCGCUGAGGAGACCCCCUUCUCAGCCGCAAGAGCAGAGCCCUUCGCCUUCCUGCCGCUCCGCACGCGCUCCCUCCCUUCCGCGCGCAGGGAGACUGCUGCUGCUGCUCCGCCGCCGCACGAGCCGCCGCUUUCCCAGCUCGAGACACAAGGGCAAUCUCCGCGCGCGCGCGCCUCCCCCUCCCCUCCAGUCCUCCUCCUCUCUCGCCACUCCAAGCCCCCUCCCUUCCCAGACGAGGCCCCGCCCCCUCCCAAGCCAUGCUUCUCUCUCUCCCCUCCUCUUCUCCCCCCGCCC
rnacentral:lncRNA from 11 species